GAAUCAAACAGGGAGGCAGUAACAUCUAGAAACCGUGACAGUGAAUUUAAUGUUCAAAUACUUGCAGAACUGAGAGAAAUCAAGAGUGUUCUUUUGGGAACUCUGACACUUUUAAAAAAUGGAUGCACUCCAUUAAUGACUGCGCCAAUCCCAAACACAUUGGGAACUCCUGCUGGACCCACUUCAGAUUUGAUCCUCUGCAGUUCAGAGUCUUCUGCAGUCAUACCAGCCCAGAGUUCCUCUCUUCAGACUCUUUAUGUAAAGGAGUCAAGAAGUAAUGGUAACUGCAAAAAUGUAAGAAUUGGCCCCAACACGUCAAUCUCUGCUGAACAGUUUGCCCACGUGAAAUGGACUGAUCACACAAAAGCCACAAAAGACCUCUUGGUGGCAGUGUUUGGAAGAGGCAUUCUCACAACACACUGCUACACUGGAAGAUGUUCCAAUGCAUUCAAAAACAAAGCAGCCAAGCCUCAACUUGAUUCUGAAAAAGUGUCUGACAUCAUUAGUAAGUAAUGAUUUUCUGAAAAUUAAGUUUUGGCAGCAUUAUCAUAUUUUAAGAUAUUCAGGAAUUUGUAAUACUAUUACUUUAAAACUUUGUAAUACUUUUUAGAGCAAUAUACUUUGUUUCAGUUGCUGAAUGGUUCUGUCAGAUAUAGGUUAGGAAAUAAAAUUAGUCAAAAAAAAUUCUGAUUUCUGAAUUUUUUUUUUUUUGUAAGUGUGACAUGCUAAUACCGAUAUUUGCAGAUUCUGAUUAUCCUUAUAAGAACUAUAAUCUUAAAAUAAAGUGCUCUGUGACUGAAAAGAGGUAGAAAUAAUUAACUGAAAAUUAGGUGCUGUAUGUAACAAAACAGAUGCCAUUUUCCACUGUUUAUAAAUACCUUUUUCCUAGUCUCGCAAAAGUCUCUAUGAAUAAAACUGAACUGUACAAGACUCUUCCAAAUAUUAAUAGGUGCAGUUGAUAAAAAUGAAAUAACAAGGCACCUUUUCUUUGUUGCUAACAUAUUUAUAGCAGGGCUCUAGAGUGUGACUCAAUGGUGCGACUAAAAAAAAACAGAGGUCGCACCGGUGCGACCAGCAGUUCAAGGGGAAAAAAGUCUCCGCGACUCUGAAAACUCUGAAAAAAAUGGAAAAAGAAAUUGCCGCGACUGUCAAGCGCGGCUCGACAGUGUUUAGUGUCCCGCAGCAGCAGCGCAGCUGAACAGUUCUCUGUUCAAAUACACGCAAUAGACUCAAGCUUGCAGAAAAGCACCAGCAAAAGUAAUUAGCCUACCAUAAAUGUGACGGGGGAAAUAGUAAGGGGUUAUUUGAAUUAUUUACUAAUAAACAAGUGUUUUCAGAGUCUGUGUCGCAAGGAUGACGUUGCUGAUCCUGACUCGCCAUCUCAUUAUAUGCGCCUUUACAGAGAAGUGCAUCUUUACAGAUUAUGAUUAUAAUGAAAGAGUUUUGUUUUCAAUUUGUUUUAUUUCGUUAAGUAAUAAUUUAAAGCUUUCUACAGAUAUAUUUAUCAUGUCUGUAAGGCAUGUUUUCACUGAGUUUCGGUUCAUCUUUGUACUCCUUUUAAAGACGAGACGCAGAAAGCGCAUCGUGUUUGUUUUCUUUAUUUUAUAAAAGCACAAAGUUUUGUUGAUAUUGUGAGUGCACACAAAUAAAAGACCCUUUGCAGUUACGAAUGAUGUAUUACUCUUACCUUUAUGUGCAAAAAUGACGGCGUAUCCACUGAAAAAAUGCAAGUGAUCAAGUUGGCAUCUCCAUGUCCUGAAGCAUCUCCACACAAACUAUUGGAUAUAGCGCACAUUUAUCUGGGUCUAACGUUUAAACAUUGUUAUAUGCUUAAACUGUUUGAUAUCUAUAGAUUUAAUUUUAGGCUCACUGUCUAACGCUGGCCUCUUGGUCGUUAGUUAAAAAAGAAAAAAAAACUAAAACUUAUAUUUAACAAACAAAAAAUUUGCCAAACGUUUUUCUAAAUUAACUUAAAAAAAGAAACAAAAUAUAAUCACUUUGCUAUUACAUACAAAACUGAACUAUUAUAAUAGCUGAGACAGUAGUAUAAGCUGUUUAGGGAGUGUUUAGCUGUUCAAAUCAGACACUAGAGCAUCCCUUCAUUCAGACACAGUGAAGAUCUGAUCAGAAUCAGUGCAGAGGGGCCAAGUCUGGAAGAUUUUGCUGCUAGAGAGAGUGUGGCCAGCUGGUUUAGCCAAGGCCAAAGAUCAAGAAGGCCAAACUACAGGAAUUUGCCAUCCGAGGGGCAUGUGACUGCAAUGGAGGAUAGUCCAUAAGACACUGAGCCAUAAGAUGUUCAGUUUGAAGCCCUUGAAACACUUAAUUUAGAUUUUCUUUUUAUUUCAUUUAUCUUGAGAUGUUUUAAGUUUAAAUUUCAGCUCAGUAAAGCACUUUAAGCACCAACACUUUUUCAGUAAGUUACCUUUCUUGUAGAAUUGUGCUUCAAAUAAAUAACUUUAUGUUGACCAGAUUGUUAGUUAAUCAUUUACAAGUCAAUAUUGCCUAUAUGGAAAGCGAUUUUAAAAAAGUGAACUUCUGCGGUGUUAAAUGCGAUGUGAUCGAAAAUUUGGAAAAAAAGUCAGUCGCACCAAUGCAACCAGUGCAGAAAGUUAGUCUAGAGCCCUGUAUAGGCUAAACGAUUAAUCGAGCAGCUUUAAUGUAAACACUGCUAAUUGUUUUGCAAGGUUUUGUGAUUUUGUGAUUUUGUCACAUACCUACUAUUUACUCAUUCUCAUGUUCAGGGCUUAAAGUUCUCCAGCGUGCAGCUUUUGGCUCCAGAAAAAAAGAAUCCUACAUUAUAAGAAAAAAAAUAUAUCUUGUUGAUUGAUACCACUUUCGAGUUCAUGAGUUCGCCUACCAGUGGUAUGAGAGGAGCACAGCUUUCAAUCUCAACUAAACUUACUUUACUAGCCAAUAGAAUGUUUUGCUUAUGGACCCACAUAAUAGUAUUCAAUUGCAGAAUCGCAGCCCUGAUGAAUGGACAAGCGUGACAAAAAGCUGUGAGGCGCAAUGGUCAAAGAUGUCUAGCGCAUAUUUACAUAGAAAAGCUAAUUAUUAAGCAGUGGAGCUUUAUAAACAGCUCAGAGGAAUCACGUCAUCUCCAUAAGAACCAUAUGAUUGCCAGAACAUAUUUACUGGGAUUUUUGAAAAGGUCCUGUUCACACAUUAUCUACACUUUAACUUACCAGUAAUUUAUCAGUAAAGACUGUAUGUGUGAAAGGGGCUAAACUCUUCCUCUAUAUAUGCCGUAUGUGAAUUGCUUAACGUGCAUUAUCUCACUAGAUUUGUAACGUAAAUCAUUGAUAAACCUUGGCCAACACAGGAGACUGCAUCAACCUAUGUCUAAAUAUGCCAUGUAUUGUAUACGCAAUUUCAAAAUAAAAGUUUCUGCAUGUGGCCAAAGAUUAAAAUUUAAAGGAUAUAAACAUUGUUUAAUGACGCUGUAAAGUGAAACGUCAUGAGGCCAUUGGUGCCCUCUGCAGGUAUUUGUUUUAAUACAUAAUGUACUUAAGUUGGUUAUGUUCAUACCAUAUAGGCAUAUUACAUUAUGUAUUUUAACAGUGUUGUUCAAUACAGUCACGUAAUUUCUUGGUUUUUAUAUUUUAUUUGAGUAAAUUAUUAUUGCCUCAUCGUUAGUUUAUAUAUAAAUAGUCAUAUUAACCCUCUGGAGUCUAAGGGUAUUUUUGGGGCCUGGAGAAGUUUUGUCAUGCCCUGACAUUUGUGCUUUUUUCAGUUUUUUAUAAAUAUCUAAAUGGCUAAAGUCUAAUCUCACUGUAAUCAGCACAAACUUUGCUAUAAUAACAUGUGAGCAGCUUGUAUGUACAUGAUUGUGUUUUUGAGAAAAAAAAAUGUUAUGCGUGGUUAGUGAAAAACUAAAAAUGUUAAAUCACUUAAAUAAGGCAAUAAAACACAUACAGACAACAUUGGUUCCCGGGACUUUGGAGAACUGGAGCUUGUAGCCUAGAAUUUUUCAUUCUAAAUGAUGUGAAAAUCAUCUUGUUUACUCACUUACAGAAAACAAUAUAUUGAUUUAAAUUUUCUAAGACACUUUUUGUUGGUAAAAGUCAUAUGCGAGUAGGCGUCAACUAUCAUGAAUAUCAUUGUGAUUCACACCUGAGAAGACAAAGGCCUGCAUAAUGAGCUGCAUAAUGAGCCAUUCAGUCAGCUGUGUCACUGAGAGGGAUGAGUUACAAGAAAGAAUGUGAGGACAAAAUAAAUGUAUAUAAUUUUAUGUUUGUAGUUUAUUUAGAAUAUAUUUAUUUAUCCCACAACAUAAUUUAAUAUUCACUUGUGAGUGCAGUUAAACAGUUUAUUAGGAACAAUCAAAGCUGACUUUCAAACUGAAUUUUUUGCAUCAUUACUCCAGUCACACAAUCCUUCAGAAAUCCUUUUAACAAUCUUAUUUUCUACAAAAAAACAUUUAUUGUUAUUAUUAUUAUCAUUAUUAGAAUAAGAAAAGACAACCCGAAGGCCCUCCGAGAGGCGGGGUGGAAGAUGGGCCUACUCUGACGGAUCAUAUGCUAACAAACGGAAUGGAUAAUGGCAAUGAGAAGAUUCUCCGGAAGUGCAUAUGCGGAUGGCAGAAGGUGACUUC
ensembl:lncRNA